rnacentral:rRNA from 1 species
GGGACACGUGGUAUCCUGUCUGAAUAUGGGGGGACCAUCCUCCAAGGCUAAAUACUCCUGACUGACCGAUAGUGAACCAGUACCGUGAGGGAAAGGCGAAAAGAACCCCGGCGAGGGGAGUGAAAAAGAACCUGAAACCGUGUACGUACAAGCAGUGGGAGCACCUUCGGGUGUGACUGCGUACCUUUUGUAUAAUGGGUCAGCGACUUAUAUUCUGUAGCAAGGUUAACCGUAUAGGGGAGCCGCAGGGAAACCGAGUCUUAACUGGGCGUUAAGUUGCAGGGUAUAGACCCGAAACCCGGUGAUCUAGCCAUGGGCAGGUUGAAGGUUGGGUAACACUAACUGGAGGACCGAACCGACUAAUGUUGAAAAAUUAGCGGAUGACUUGUGGCUGGGGGUGAAAGGCCAAUCAAACCGGGAGAUAGCUGGUUCUCCCCGAAAGCUAUUUAGGUAGCGCCUCGUGAAUUCAUCUUCGGGGGUAGAGCACUGUUUCGGCUAGGGGGUCAUCCCGACUUACCAACCCGAUGCAAACUACGAAUACCGAAGAAUGUUAUCACGGGAGACACACGGCGGGUGCUAACGUCCGUCGUGAAGAGGGAAACAACCCAGACCGCCAGCUAAGGUCCCAAAGUCAUGGUUAAGUGGGAAACGAUGUGGGAAGGCACAGACAGCCAGGAUGUUGGCUUAGAAGCAGCCAUCAUUUAAAGAAAGCGUAAUAGCUCACUGGUCGAGUCGGCCUGCGCGGAAGAUGUAACGGGGCUAAACCAUGCACCGAAGCUGCGGCAGCGACACUAUGUGUUGUUGGGUAGGGGAGCGUUCUGUAAGCCUGCGAAGGUGUGCUGUGAGGCAUGCUGGAGGUAUCAGAAGUGCGAAUGCUGACAUAAGUAACGAUAAAGCGGGUGAAAAGCCCGCUCGCCGGAAGACCAAGGGUUCCUGUCCAACGUUAAUCGGGGCAGGGUGAGUCGACCCCUAAGGCGAGGCCGAAAGGCGUAGUCGAUGGGAAACAGGUUAAUAUUC